rnacentral:rRNA from 1 species
UACAGAGGGUGCGAGCGUUGUUCGGAAUCACUGGGCGUAAAGCGCGUGUAGGUGGUUGGUUGCGUCGGCGCUGAAACCUCUGGGCUUAACCCAGAGACGCGUGCCGAUACGAGCCGACUUGAGGCAGGGAGAGGGUGGCGGAAUUCCGGGUGUAGUGGUGAAAUGCGUAGAGAUCCGGAGGAACGCCAGUGACGAAGGAGGCCACCUGGCCCUCGCCUGACACUGAGACGCGAAAGCGUGGGGAGCGAACCGG